CUCGGACCUCCACCCUUUGUGAACACAUCCCGUUGCUUCGGGGGCGACCCUGCCGGGCGCCCCCGGAGGACCAUCAAAACACUGCAUCAUUUGCGUCGGAGUUUACGAGUAAAUCGAAACAAAACUUUCAACAACGGAUCUCUUGGUUCUGGCAUCGAUGAAGAACGCAGCGAAAUGCGAUAAGUAAUGUGAAUUGCAGAAUUCAGUGAAUCAUCGAAUCUUUGAACGCACAUUGCGCCCCCUGGUAUUCCGGGGGGCAUGCCCGUUCGAGCGUCAUUACACCACUCCAGCCUCGCUGGGUAUUGGGCGUCUUCGCGGGGGAGCAAUCCCCCGCGCGCCUCAAAGUCUCCGGCUGAGCGGUUCCGUCUUCGCAGCGUUGUGGCAUCACGUCUCGCUAUGAAUUCGGUCCCUCACGGCCGUUAAAUCACUUAACAGG
rnacentral:misc_RNA from 1 species